AGAGUUUGAUCCUGGCUCAGAUUGAACGCUGGCGGCAUGCCUUACACAUGCAAGUCGAACGGCAGCACGGGGGGCAACCCCUGGUGGCGAGUGGCGCACGGGUGAGUAAUAUAUCGGAACGUACCCUGUAGCGGGGGAUAACCUCUCGAAAGAGAGGCUAAUACCGCAUACGACCUACGGGUGAAAGCGGAGGACCGCAAGGCGUCGCACUACAGGAGCGGCCGAUACCGGAUUAGCUAGUUGGCGGGGUAAUGGCCCACCAAGGCUACGAUCCGUAGCUGGUCUGAGAGGACGAUCAGCCACACUGGAACUGACACACGGUCCAGACUCCUACGGGAGGCAGCAGUGGGGAAUUUUGGACAAUGGGCGCAAGCCUGAUCCAGCCAUGCCGCGUGAGUGAAGAAGGCCUUCGGGUUGUAAAGCUCUUUCGGCGGGGACGAAACGGUUCGUGCUAAUACCACGGACUAAUGACGGUACCCGAAGAAGAAGCACCGGCUAACUACGUGCCAGCAGCCGCGGUAAUACGUAGGGUGCAGGCGUUAAUCGGAAUUACUGGGCGUAAAGCGUGCGCAGGCGGUUUGUUAAGACAGGUGUGAAAUCCCCGGGCUUAACCUGGGAACUGCGCUUGUUACUGGCAGACUUGAGUGUGGCAGAGGGGGGUGGAAUUCCACGUGUAGCAGUGAAAUGCGUAGAGAUGUGGAGGAACACCGAUGGCGAAGGCAGCCCCCUGGGUUAACACUGACGCUCAUGCACGAAAGCGUGGGGAGCAAACAGGAUUAGAUACCCUGGUAGUCCACGCCCUAAACUAUGUCAACUGGUUGUCGGGGAAGCAAUUCCUUGGUAACGAAGCUAACGCGUGAAGUUGACCGCCUGGGGAGUACGGCCGCAAGGUUAAAACUCAAAGGAAUUGACGG
rnacentral:rRNA from 1 species